UACAGAGGCCUCGAGCGUUGUUCGGAUUUACUGGGCGUAAAGGGAAUGUAGGCGGUAGCGUAAGUCAGAUGUGAAAGCCCUAGGCUUAACCUGGGAACUGCAUUUGAUACUGUGCUGCUAGAGUGCGAGAGAGGAAAGUGGAAUUCCAGGUGUAGGGGUGAAAUCCGUAGAUAUCUGGAGGAAUACCAAUGGCGAAGGCAGCUUUCUGGCUCGUAACUGACGCUGAGAUUCGAAAGCGUGGGUAGCAAACAGG
rnacentral:rRNA from 1 species